CUCUGCUACUACUACUACGUUAACGUUCACAUGGACAUGGUGGCAGUAGUUUAACCAUACAUGUUCGAACCAGAAUCUGAUCCUGAAGGAGGGGAGUCUCCUGCACUACCCGAGACUCAGAGAAUUCAGCAAGACGCUUCUGAAUGGUGCACAUGUGGAAAUUGUGCAACAUUGCCGUCAGAGCCUGAGAACUUAUGCUGCCAGGAGGUACCACAGGUAACAUGAUCUUUCCUAUACUUAUGUCAGCAAUAUAUGAUUGCAGACAAGAUGCCACAGCAGAUACUUACCUAAUGUUACGCAUAAUAGGUUACAAGAUGGCUGCAGCAGCUGGAUGAAAGGCCUCCAUGUAUGAUAGGCAAACAGGUUCUAAACCUGGACGGUCUAAAUGUGUUCUCACUGCAGAAUGCAUGCAACAUUUACAGGGCUGACUACGGUCCUUUACAGUUAUGGGGAAUAGAGCAGUGAGUUAUCUGUAAUAACCUACUUACAUUCACUGUUCAUACAACAUAAUAAAGCAAAUAUAGUCUGCCAAAGCCUCUAUUUCAGAUUUUUUUCUUGAACUUAUAGCCAAGUAUUUCCUCAGCAAAUUGUAUAUUACACAAAAUCACAUGAAGCAUUUUACACAUGCAAUAAACAUUUAUUUACCACUGUCAUUGUACAUAAAAAUACAGUAUUGAAUGAUUCACUGAUUCCAAAUUAGACAUACAUUAUAAAACCUGUUGACUAGCAAUGUUCAUUUUUCUCAGUCAUUACAGGUAUUGAGCCUACAGAAGUUUUGUGAGCUGGUGCUUCCUUGGUAGAAAGAUACGGGUAGUGAUCCCCUCGUGUGUCGUGACAAGAGUUUCCUGACGCCCACGGAAGAUAUGUAGGCUUCAAACUCCCGCCCCUUGAUUGUAUCUUGAGACAUAGCUGGCGAUGACCUCCUCCUUGUCUGGAUGCUCAUAUUGUGAAGACAGGUCCGGCGGAAUGUUUAUCUUCAGAAUCUCGUCUCCAUAUGAUGAUGGGUCAACAAAGACUUUCUCCAUGAUCAUGUCCAUCAAAUCAUCAACAUACCCUGUGCAAUACACAUACACACAAAAAAGUUAAUCACUAGUAUAAUUUACUACAUUAUUCAACAACUGUUCAUUUUGCGCGUGACAUUUUGUAGUUUCUCAGGUAUUUAAGUAAGUUUGUUUGGUUUUAUUUAUUGUGUUGAAAGCACUGUUGCAGUACUUUGUCAUGUACAAUGUAAAUGUUUGUUUUUGUGUAAAAAAAAAAAAAAAAACUUACGGAAUGUAGCGUCCGUCUUCACUGGUCUGGCUCUGCACUCUCCCUUCCUGGAUUUUGGAAAGCUCAGUUUGUAAAGAGGAUCCCCUGAAGAUGUGGUGGCUUGUCCUCGAUUAGAAUUCUCAUUAUAAUGCAGUGCAGCCAGUUUCAUUUACCUGCACAGCAUUCCCAGAUAUGGAUAGACCACGUUUUUGGGUGCGAACCGCAGAAUGACACUAUGGAACGCCUCCAAAGAGGACGUCUGGUA